rnacentral:rRNA from 2 species
AAGCGAGUGGCGAACUGGUGAGUAACACGUGGGAAAUCUGCCCAGAAGCAGGGGAUAACACUUGGAAACAGGUGCUAAUACCGUAUAACAACAAAAUCCGCAUGGAUUUUGUUUGAAAGGUGGCUUCGGCUAUCACUUCUGGAUGAUCCCGCGGCGUAUUAGUUAGUUGGUGAGGUAAAGGCCCACCAAGACGAUGAUACGUAGCCGACCUGAGAGGGUAAUCGGCCACAUUGGGACUGAGACACGGCCCAAACUCCUACGGGAGGCAGCAGUAGGGAAUCUUCCACAAUGGACGAAAGUCUGAUGGAGCAAUGCCGCGUGAGUGAAGAAGGGUUUCGGCUCGUAAAACUCUGUUGUUAAAGAAGAACACCUUUGAGAGUAACUGUUCAAGGGUUGACGGUAUUUAACCAGAAAGCCACGGCUAACUACGUGCCAGCAGCCGCGGUAAUACGUAGGUGGCAAGCGUUGUCCGGAUUUAUUGGGCGUAAAGCGAGCGCAGGCGGUUUUUUAAGUCUGAUGUGAAAGCCUUCGGCUUAACCGGAGAAGUGCAUCGGAAACUGGGAGACUUGAGUGCAGAAGAGGACAGUGGAACUCCAUGUGUAGCGGUGGAAUGCGUAUAUAUAUGGAAGAACACCAGUGGCGAAGGCGGCUGUCUAGUCUGUACUGACGCUGAGGCUCGAAGCAUGGGUAGCGACAGGAUUAGAUCCCUGGUAGUCAUGCCGUAACGAUAAUGCUAUUGUUGAGGGUUCGCCCUUCAUGCUGCACUUACGCAUAAGCCUCCGCCGGGGAGACGACCGCAAGUUGAACUCAAGGAUUGACGGGGCCCGCACAGCGGUGACAUGUGGUUUAUUCUAGCUCACAGAGAACUUACAGGUCUUGAAUCCUCUGCCAUCUAGAGAUAGACGUCCCUUCGGGA